rnacentral:rRNA from 1 species
GGGAUAGCCUUUCGAAAGAAAGAUUAAUACCCGAUAGUAUAAUGAUUCCGCAUGGUUUGAUUAUUAAAGGAUUCCGGUAAAGGAUGGGGAUGCGUUCCAUUAGGUUGUUGGUGAGGUAACGGCUCACCAAGCCUUCGAUGGAUAGGGGUUCUGAGAGGAAGGUCCCCCACAUUGGAACUGAGACACGGUCCAAACUCCUACGGGAGGCAGCAGUGAGGAAUAUUGGUCAAUGGGCGUUAGCCUGAACCAGCCAAGUAGCGUGAAGGAUGAAGGCUCUAUGGGUCGUAAACUUCUUUUAUAUAAGAAUAAAGUGCAGUAUGUAUACUGUUUUGUAUGUAUUAUAUGAAUAAGGAUCGGCUAACUCCGUGCCAGCAGCCGCGGUAAUACGGAGGAUCCGAGCGUUAUCCGGAUUUAUUGGGUUUAAAGGGAGCGUAGGUGGACUGGUAAGUCAGUUGUGAAAGUUUGCGGCUCAACCGUAAAAUUGCAGUUGAUACUGUCAGUCUUGAGUACAGUAGAGGUGGGCGGAAUUCGUGGUGUAGCGGUGAAAUGCUUAGAUAUCACGAAGAACUCCGAUUGCGAAGGCAGCUCACUGGACUGCAACUGACA